rfam:Enterobacter sp. 638, complete genome.
GCUAUCAUGCCUUUGCCAGCCUGUGUCCGCGCGUUUUCACAGGAGGCGUACGUCAUAACGUGCAUGAAUAAUUAUCAGAAGUUU